UACGUAGGGUGCAAGCGUUAAUCGGAAUUACUGGGCGUAAAGCGUGCGCAGGCGGUUGUGCAAGACAGAUGUGAAAUCCCCGGGCUUAACCUGGGAACUGCAUUUGUGACUGCACGGCUAGAGUGCGGCAGAGGGGGAUGGAAUUCCGCGUGUAGCAGUGAAAUGCGUAGAUAUGCGGAGGAACACCGAUGGCGAAGGCAAUCCCCUGGGCCUGCACUGACGCUCAUGCACGAAAGCGUGGG
rnacentral:rRNA from 1 species